ACGGAAUGAUGCCAUAUGAGUUUGCUGCUGGAUCCACCAGACCAUAUCAGAGGGACAUGGAGGAGUCGGUCAGAGCCGGCUCAACGAGGUGAAGCCCCAGCGAGCAUCAUCUCCUGCUCAGUGAGGGAGUGGCCGAACUGGCAGCGAUGGUGGCCUUAAGGGCAGUUAUCCCCAGCGAGGACUAUCCUGCAUGCAGUCCCGUGUCUUGUACCGUGGGUGACGGAUCACUGGCCUCAGCUCCCGCUAUGCGGCAGGCGAACGAACUGGCAGUGGUCUCCGUGAGGGCAAGUGCUGGUCUCAUGCCACUUGUUGCAGAUAGAGCUCUCCUUACCUCAACUGCACCUUCUUAUCAUAUCGAUAUAUCAGUCAACCAUUGUCACUAGAUAGAUGCAGUCCUUACUUGAAUAGUAGAGCAGUAAAUAGAUGAUCCUUGGAGCACAUCUCGGCAUUCUGCAAAUCGAAUGUGAUUGGGGCCAGGAAGGCUUCAUGGAGAAUUAUCUAAGUCUAUUGAGCAAAAGGAAGAAAAGCAGGCGAAACGAAGGUCAUGGCACCUCAUAACUUCAGCUUCAUCCGCCGAGUCUACGGCUAUCUUAAGAUGAAGUGCGACUAUCCUGAGGUACCUAGCCGAGUUUUAAGACCGGAGCUGAAAUCAAAGGAAGCUGCAGAAAGCGCUUUAUCGGCUUACAAAGCUGCUUAGAUAUCGCUCUUGCUGAUGUUGCCCCCUGCACCCGUUGAGGCCUGAACCUGCCCUGAACUACUCAGUCUUCUAUUAUGAGAAUUUUGAACUCUCCAGAUGGUGCCUGCAACGCAACCUGGUACAUACAUUGCUUUAUUUGACCACUUGCUGUAGAUUAGG